GGGCCCUACGGGAGGCAGCAGUGGGGAAUAUUGGGCAAUGGGCGCAAGCCUGACCCAGCAACGCCGCGUGAAGGAAGAAGGCUUUCGGGUUGUAAACUUCUUUUCUUGGGGACGAAGAAAGUGACGGUACCCAAGGAAUAAGCCACGGCUAACUACGUGCCAGCAGCCGCGGUAAUACGUAGGGGGCAAGCGUUAUCCGGAAUUACUGGGUGUAAAGGGAGCGUAGACGGCUGUGCAAGUCUGGAGUGAAAGGCGGGGGCCCAACCCCCGGACUGCUCUGGAAACUGUAUGGCUGGAGUGCAGGG
rnacentral:rRNA from 1 species